rnacentral:rRNA from 1 species
CCUACGGGUGGCAGCAGUGGGGAAUAUUGCGCAAUGGGCGAAAGCCUGACGCAGCGACGCCGCGUGAGGGAUGAAGGUCUUCGGAUCGUAAACCUCUGUCAGCAGGGAAGAACGGUCACUGUGCUAAUCAGCAGUGAAUUGACGGUCCCUGCAAAGGAAGCACCGGCUAACUCCGUGCCAGCAGCCGCGGUAAUACGGAGGGUGCGAGCGUUAAUCGGAAUUACUGGGCGUAAGGCGCUCGUAGGCGGUAUGGCAAGUCAAGGGUGAAAGCCCCGCGCUCAACGUGGGAACUGCAUUUGAAACUGGCAAACUUGAGUGUGUGAGAGGAUAGUGGAAUUCCAGGUGGAGGAGUGAAAUCCGUAGAUAUCUGGAGGAACAUCAGUGGCGAAGGCGACUAUCUGGCACAUAACUGACGCUGAGGAGCGAAAGCGUGGGUAGCAAACAGGAUUAGAUACCCGUGUAGUC